UUACCCCGCUGAACUAAGCAUAUCAAUAAGCGGAGGAAAAGAAACCAACAGGGAUUGCCCCAGUAACGGCGAGUGAAGCGGCAACAGCUCAAAUUUGAAAUCUGGCUCUCGGGCCCGAGUUGUAAUUUGUAGAGGAUGCUUUUGGUGAGGUGCCUUCCGAGUUCCCUGGAACGGGACGCCAUAGAGGGUGAGAGCCCCGUCUGGUUGGACACCGAACCUCUGUAAAGCUCCUUCGACGAGUCGAGUAGUUUGGGAAUGCUGCUCUAAAUGGGAGGUAUAUGUCUUCUAAAGCUAAAUACCGGCCAGAGACCGAUAGCGCACAAGUAGAGUGAUCGAAAGAUGAAAAGAACUUUGAAAAGAGAGUUAAACAGUACGUGAAAUUGUUGAAAGGGAAGCGCUUGUGACCAGACUUGGGCUUGGUUGAUCAUCCGGGGUUCUCCCCGGUGCACUCUUCCGGCCCAGGCCAGCAUCAGUUCGCCCUGGGGGACAAAGGCAUCGGGAACGUGGCUCUCUCCGGGGAGUGUUAUAGCCCGUUGCGUAAUACCCUGCGGCGGACUGAGGUUCGCGCAUUCGCAAGGAUGCUGGCGUAAUGGUCAUCAGUGACCCGUCUUGAAACACGGACCAAGGAGUCGUCUUCGUAUGCGAGUGUUCGGGUGUCAAACCCCUACGCGAAAUGAAAGUGAACGCAGGUGAGAGCUUCGGCGCAUCAUCGACCGAUCCUGAUGUUAUCGGAUGGAUUUGAGUAAGAGCAUACGGGGCCGGACCCGAAAGAAGGUGAACUAUGCCUGUGUAGGGUGAAGCCAGAGGAAACUCUGGUGGAGGCUCGCAGCGGUUCUGACGUGCAAAUCGAUCGUCAAACAUGGGCAUGGGGCGAAAGACUAAUCGAACCUUCUAGUAGCUGGUUUCCGCCGAUUUUCCCCCCCCCGGG
rnacentral:rRNA from 1 species